rnacentral:rRNA from 1 species
AUUGAACGCUGGCGGCAUGCUUUACACAUGCAAGUCGAACGGUAACAGGGUGCUUGCACCGCUGACGAGUGGCGAACGGGUGAGUAAUGCGUCGGAACGUGCCGAGUAGUGGGGGAUAACGCAGCGAAAGUUGUGCUAAUACCGCAUACGUACUGAGGUAGAAAGUGGGGGACCUUCGGGCCUCACGCUAUUCGAGCGGCCGACGUCUGAUUAGCUAGUAGGUGAGGUAAAGGCUCACCUAGGCGACGAUCAGUAGCGGGUCUGAGAGGAUGAUCCGCCACACUGGGACUGAGACACGGCCCAGACUCCUACGGGAGGCAGCAGUGGGGAAUUUUGGACAAUGGGCGAAAGCCUGAUCCAGCCAUGUCGCGUGUCUGAAGAAGGCCUUCGGGUUGUAAAGGACUUUUGACAGGGAGGAAAUCCCUAGUGCUAAUAACACUGGGGGAUGACAGUACCUGAAGAAUAAGCACCGGCUAACUACGAGCCAGCCGCCGCGGUAA